UUCAUGUGCGGGUUGUAAAAGCAAACCCUGGAAUGAAUCCUGAGCUGUCAUGCACUGAUGCCAAUGGGAAAGCAGGAGAGUUUGGUGCCCUAAAAGAAGGCUAUAUGUUCGAGUGUUAAACCGGUCUCUCAAGGAUCUCACCCACAUGUCCAGUACUUGAUACAUUAGGGAAAAAACUUCUUUCGAGAUAGUAGUUGGCUUCAAUGGGCGUGUUUGGG